GUACGAAGCAGCUUGACGCCAUUUUAUGUCGGAUUGCAGAGGAGCAGGGACAUUGCCACGCCACUCAUGCACAAAAUGUGUUGGCAACAGCAACAGACGUUGAAAAAAGACUACAGUUUCCUGACUUAAUUGUCUAAGGUGAAUCAGCGUUUGGAUGCUGAGCAUCGGGUGGUUGUGCCUCCACAUCCCAACUUCGUGGCUGGAAUGGCAGCUUUGUUUUCUAUCUACUACAACUUCAAUCUGGUGUACCAGGAGGAGCAAGUGCACACUGGAGAUCAUUCAAAGAUGCUUCAUUGGACUGAACCCAUCCAGUGGGACCAAGACAGCAAAGGUGGUUAGCCAAAAAAGAGGGAAGGUACCGGAGAAAAAGAAGAACCGCAUUAACCCUCACGUCUCCUCUCUACUUAAGCGGCUGAUAGAUUUUGAAUGGCUUCAAUUGUAAGUCUCAAGCGACUUCCUCACAAUAUGAAUGGACAAUGUUCUAAAUGUUUUCUGAAUUUCACUGAAUGUUAAGAAAAUGAAUAGAAUAUGCUGUUAAGAAAAAGACAUUCUGAAAAUGUACAGUAUUGUAACACUGUAUUUUGUUUUAAUAAUAAAAUUUCAUGAUUUUGCAUCUUG